rnacentral:rRNA from 1 species
UACGGGGGGAGCAAGCGUUGUUCGGAUUUACUGGGCGUAAAGGGCGCGUAGGCGGCGCAACAAGUCACUUGUGAAAUCUCCGGGCUUAACCCGGAGCGGCCAAGUGAUACUGUCGUGCUAGAGUGCGGAAGGGGCUACUGGAAUUCUCGGUGUAGCGGUGAAAUGCGUAGAUAUCGAAGAGGAACACCUGCGGCGAAGGCGGCUCUCUGGGACGGUACUGACGCUGAGACGCGAAAGCGUGAGGAGCAAA